rnacentral:rRNA from 1 species
UACAGAGGUCUCAAGCGUUGUUCGGAUUCAGUUGGGCGUAAAGGGUGUGUAGGUGGCGCGCUAAGUCGGGUGUGAAAUUUCGGGAGCUUAACUCCGAAACUGCAUUCGAUACUGGCGUGCUUGAGGACUGGAGAGGAGACUGGAAUUCAAUGGUGUAGCAGUGAAAUGCGUAGAGAUCAUGAGGAAGACCAGUAGGCGAAGGCGGGUCUCUGGACAGUUCCUGACACUGAGACACGAAG